rnacentral:lncRNA from 1 species
UGAAGAAUAAAAAUAAAAAUACAUUAGUUCUUAUAGAAUAUGGGUAACAAUUAUUAAGAAUUACAUUUAUUGUUAAAGAAUAAAACUAUAAAAACAAUCAAAACGGGGAAGAAAACAUCAAAAUCUAACAACGACUAAUACAUUCUAAAAGAAUAAUGUGGUCCGUUCUUCAAGCAUCAACUUCUGUGAUUCCAACAGAAUUGGAAUUCAUCAUUCCAUUCCAACAGAAUUGGAAUUCGUCAUUCCAUUCCAACAGAAUUGGAAUUCGUCAUUCCAUUCCAAUAGAAUUAGAAUCCCACCAAUAUCAUCCAUUGAAUCAUCUACAUAAACAUACUUGGAGAAGCCAACAUACUUGAUACCUUUUCAGAAUUUAACCUUGUCAAGAUCUUGCAUUGUCCGCAUAAAUGAAGUGUUAAAUCAGGAAAAAAAAACAUAAAGUAUGUUGUUAAGCCUUUACAUUUGUUCUUGUUAUACUGAAAGUAUGUUGUCAAAAGAGGAAUUUAAUACAAGUUUUUAAAGGUAAAAGAGAUGGAUUUUUUUUGGGUUUAUUGUUACUCAAAAAUAUCUUUUUAUGGGGCUGUUAGAUACUCGAAAAUGGUAACAAGAAAAUGAGCUUUUUAGGUGUUGUAGGUUAUUCAAAAAUUAGCUACUGUUUGGGGUGGUUUAGCUCUCGAAAAAUUAGCAAAAUAAUGGGUUUUUGGGUCUCUUUUGGUCACUAAAAAGCAGAGGUAUACUUAGUUGUUGGGUUCUCAACAUUUCACCGCAAAACAGGUGGUUUUUGGAUCACAUUUGGUCACUUGAAAAUAGCUUUGUAUAGGGCUGAUGUGUUCUUGAAUUUUUGAUAGCAAACAUGAGGUUUUUGACAGCAAAAUAGGUGGUUUUUGGGCUGCUAUAAACCACUAGAAAAACAACACUUUAUUGAGUUGUUUUGGGUCUCAAAAAUUCAGCAAGAACACAUGAAUAAGAGGAGUUUUGGGGAUAUUAUGGUAGCUUCAAACACAGCUGCAACAGGAGACAUGUUCAGGGGUAUUUUUAGGAUAAAAACAUGUUGAAAAUUGGUGCUAAGUGGCUGUGAUUGGAGGCUAAAAAAGAGGAGGCAACAACUCCAUUUCUGUCUUCGGUUUUGAUGGGUUUCAAGGAGAGGGGAGGGGCUAUAAGGAAGUUGAUUUUAAAUAUGAUAUUGAGAGUAUUCCCAGAAUAUGUUUGCUGUGAAUUUGAAGAAAGGAAGGUGGGAGGAAGCUGGCAUUAAGUUUAUAGGAAGGAAACAAAUAGAGAGUUAUGAGAGAAUGAUGGAAACGAAAUGGAGAAAGAAUCGACCAAGCAUUCAAGUUACAGUUUUCUCAAUUUGGGCAUUUCAUCGAGCACCAUAUGUGCACAGAGACUGUAACAGAAGAGAACGCUACCUUCACAGGCACAGAGGGAAGAAGUGAUAUCUUAGAAUUACUAACCUUGGGUUUCGAAGAAUUAAAUCCCUCUACCAUAUCUGAAGUAGCUUGAAUCAGAAGAAUAGGCAAAACUCAUCAUAGAACCUGAAACCACCACUGGACUCGCCGCAGGGAUGGACCCGCAUCAUUUUAUUGCUUACGAUGUCAUUGUUGUUCAGUCGAUUUCUCCUCUUAAAACCUUUGGAUGAUGUCGAUCUUGUUCAUGGUUUUAAAAAACCGAUGGAGAAAACCUAGGUAGGUAGGUAG